rnacentral:lncRNA from 1 species
UGAGAUCAAGAAGCAACUAAAAUUAGAGGGUCAGAGCCAAGACAAGUUCUCCAAUAAUCCUGAUGUUCACACCUGGGAUAGCCUUCUCUUAGCUGAAUGAAAAGUGCAAAAAGACUGCAUAUUUGAGACUUCUAUCAGAGAGGAAUUGUACCAUUACCAGCCUCCAUCAGGAAAAUAUGUUCAUCUAUGUUCCAGAUGUCCCAUUGCCAUCUCCACUCAGCCCUAGAGCACAGGAAGUGAAUUAAACCCUUCAUGUACAUUUGCUGCUUUUGCUGCAGAAGUAGCAGCUC